GCAGGGGGAAGGAGGAGUGUGCUCUGAAAAGCAACCUUCUCCUGAAUACCAGAUGAAUGAACUAAUGAACCGAUGUAUCGGAACAUUCCAAGGAGCCCAGACCUACUGUGGUUACUGCUGGAAAAAAGCUGCACUUUGCACGAGCAGUGUGUGUGAAGGUGGAAGGGGAAUCUGUUCUACAGUAUCACCUGGGAAAGGAUUUAGUAUGGUGGGAUCAUGCAUUGACCCCGAAAGUGGAGUUGUGAGUAGGGAGUGCUCGUGUUGGAGUUCUUUGUGGAUUCCUUUUGAGCCAAUCCUGAGCUAAUCCUUAAUCCAAAUUAUGGAAGUAAAAAGACGAAAAAAAUCCAAAUUUUUUUUAAAGAAAUUCAUUUGUGUUUGAAAAUUCAAUAAUAAAUAAUUCUGCAAAUA